rnacentral:rRNA from 1 species
ACACAGGGAGGUAGUGACAAGAAAUAACAAUACGGGGCUCAACGCCUUGUAAUUGGAAUGAUGGGAACCUAAACCCCUUCCAGAGUAUCAAUUGGAGGGCAAGUCUGGUGCCAGCAGCCGCGGUAAUUCCAGCUCCAAUAGCGUAUAUUAAAAUUGUUGCAGUUAAAAAGCUCGUAGUUGAAUUUCUGCCGCAUCGCGGCGGCCCUCCCGGGCCCAGCGUUGCGGCUUAUUUCGGACUCGCUUGCGUCUCCGAAUGUUUACUUUGAGAAAAUUAGAGUGCUCAAAGCAGGCCCUUGCCUUGAAUACUUUAGCAUGGAAUAAUAAAGUAGGACUUUGGUUCUAUUUUGUUGGUUUAGCGCCAAAGUAAUGGUUAAUAGGAACAGUUGGGGGCAUUCGUAUUUAAAAUUUAA